CCAAUGAUGAAUUUUUUCACUCAGAGUUGUCAAAAUGACGAUAUAAAAAAUAUUCCUCUAAGAAGUUCUGAAGGGA
rnacentral:snoRNA from 1 species